rnacentral:rRNA from 1 species
GAUGAACGCUAGCUACAGGCUUAACACAUGCAAGUCGAGGGACCGGCGCACGGGUGAGUAACGCGUAUCCAACCUUCCGUACACUCAGGGAUAGCCUUUCGAAAGAAAGAUUAAUACCUGAUGGUGUACGAUGGGGAUGCGUUCCAUUAGGUAGUAGGCGGGGUAACGGCCCACCUAGCCAACGAUGGAUAGGGGUUCUGAGAGGAAGGUCCCCCACAUUGGAACUGAGACACGGUCCAAACUCCUACGGGAGGCAGCAGUGAGGAAUAUUGGUCAAUGGACGAGAGUCUGAACCAGCCAAGUAGCGUGAAGGAUGAAGGUCUACGGAUUGUAAACUUCUUUUAUAAGGGAAUAUGUACCUUAUGAAUAAGCAUCGGCUAACUCCGUGCCAGCAGCCGCGGUAAUACGGAGGAUGCGAGCGUUAUCCGGAUUUAUUGGGUUUAAAGGGAGCGCAGACGGGUCGUUAAGUCAGCUGUGAAAGUUUGGGGCUCAACCUUAAAAUUGCAGUUGAUACUGGCGUCCUUGAGUGCGG